GACGAACGCUGGCGGCGUGCCUAAUACAUGCAAGUAGAACGCACAGUUUAUACCGUAGCUUGCUACACCAUAGACUGUGAGUUGCGAACGGGUGAGUAACGCGUAGGUAACCUGCCUGGUAGCGGUGGAUAACUAUUGGAAACGAUAGCUAAUACCGCAUAAUAUUAAUUAUUGCAUGAUAAUUAAUUGAAAGGUGCAAUUGCACCACCACCAGAUGGACCUGCGUUGUAUUAGCUAGUAGGUGAGGUAACGGCUCACCUAGGCGACGAUACAUAGCCGACCUGGGAGGGUGAUCGGCCACACUGGGACUGGGACACGGCCCAGACUCCUACGGGAGGCAGCAGUAGGGAAUCUUCGGCAAUGGACGAAAGUCUGACCGAGCAACGCCGCGUGAGUGAAGAAGGUUGUCGGAUCGUAAAGCUCUGUUGUAAGAGAAGAACGGGUGUGAGAGUGGAAAGUUCACACUGUGACGGUAUCUGACCAGAAAGGGACGGCUAACUACGUG
rnacentral:rRNA from 1 species